rnacentral:rRNA from 1 species
UUGAACGCUGGCGGCAUGCCUUACACAUGCAAGUCGAACGGCAGCACGGGUGCUUGCACCUGGUGGCGAGUGGCGAACGGGUGAGUAAUACAUCGGAACAUGUCCUGUAGUGGGGGAUAGCCCGGCGAAAGCCGGAUUAAUACCGCAUACGAUCUACGGAUGAAAGCGGGGGACCUUCGGGCCUCGCGCUAUAGGGUUGGCCGAUGGCUGAUUAGCUAGUUGGUGGGGUAAAGGCCUACCAAGGCGACGAUCAGUAGCUGGUCUGAGAGGACGACCAGCCACACUGGGACUGAGACACGGCCCAGACUCCUACGGGAGGCAGCAGUGGGGAAUUUUGGACAAUGGGCGAAAGCCUGAUCCAGCAAUGCCGCGUGUGUGAAGAAGGCCUUCGGGUUGUAAAGCACUUUUGUCCGGAAAGAAAUCCUUGGCCCUAAUACGGUCGGGGGAUGACGGUACCGGAAGAAUAAGCACCGGCUAACUACGCG